rnacentral:lncRNA from 1 species
GGAGAAUAAAGAGAGAGAAGAGAGGAGUUGCGCUUAACUUCGUGCGACGGCGACCAGAUCAGCCACGGCGAUCAGAUCUGAGUUUCGCGAUAAGAAGAUCUGAGUUUCGACGACGAGCAGCUAUGAAAAUCGCAUGAGGCACACGAGGCGUCGUGUGCGCGCCUCACUGCGCCUCUAACAAAGCUGAUUGUGAGUACUUGUCGAACUCGCCAAUUUUGCACUUCUAUAAAAGGUUUCUUUUGGGCCUACACAUGGCUCAAAU